GACGAACGCUGGCGGCGUGCUUAACACAUGCAAGUCGAACGGAAAGGCCCUGCUUUUGUGGGGUGCUCGAGUGGCGAACGGGUGAGUAACACGUGGGUAACCUGCCCUUGACUUUGGGAUAACUUCAGGAAACUGGGGCUAAUACCGGAUAGGAGCUCCUGCUGCAUGGUGGGGGUUGGAAAGUUUCGGCGGUUGGGGAUGGACUCGCGGCUUAUCAGCUUGUUGGUGGGGUAGUGGCUUACCAAGGCUUUGACGGGUAGCCGGCCUGAGAGGGUGACCGGCCACAUUGGGACUGAGAUACGGCCCAGACUCCUACGGGAGGCAGCAGUGGGGAAUAUUGCACAAUGGGCGGAAGCCUGAUGCAGCAACGCCGCGUGCAGGAUGACGGCCUUCGGGUUGUAAACCGCUUUCGCCUGUGACGAAGCGUGAGUGACGGUAAUGGGUAAAGAAGCACCGGCUAACUACGUG
rnacentral:rRNA from 1 species